UACGUAGGGUGCGAGCGUUGUCCGGAAUUAUUGGGCGUAAAGGGCUCGUAGGCGGUCUGUUGCGUCGGGAGUGAAAACUCAGGGCUUAACCCUGAGCUUGCUUCCGAUACGGGCAGACUAGAGGUAUGCAGGGGAGAACGGAAUUCCUGGUGUAGCGGUGAAAUGCGCAGAUAUCAGGAGGAACACCGGUGGCGAAGGCGGUUCUCUGGGCAUUACCUGACGCUGAGGAGCGAAAGUGUGGGGAGCGAACAGG
rnacentral:rRNA from 1 species